UCCAAAAGCUUUUAGACUUCUUUGCAACAGUUUAAUAAUCAUACCUUUGGAUCUGUCGUCAAGUCUCAAAGCCUCCCCAAAAACCAAACCAAAACCAAACCUGACUCAAAGAAGAACAAAAAUACAAGACAAUGCUCCUCUUGUUCCUCCUACACCAUUGCAAUCUCUUCUAACACAGACUACAAGUAACUCAACACAACACAAGACAACAAAAAAUCUCAGACAGUUGUGUUGUUAUUGGGUCAUCUUCAGUCUUCUUCUAAUGGUUGUUGUCCAAGCUUCAAAGCUAAGGCUCCCCAACCCUUCCCUCUCUUCCCCUAACAUAACCUCCCUCCUCUUUGAGCCCCAUUCUCUCUCUCUAGCCCUCAUGCACUCUGACUCCACUCUCUCUCUCUACCCUUCUAUCUCCCCUCUUUCCCUCUCAUCUCUCCCUCCUCCUCAAACCCUAAUUGCUCCUCCCUCUUCUUCCUCCACCUUCCUCCUCCUCCAAAACCCUAACCCUAACCCCAAUACUCGCGUUCUAUUCAUUGUCUCGGGUCCUUAUAGAGGUGGGUCUCAGGUCCUGCUCAGGUUUUAUAUUUUGCACAAGCAGAAGCAAUUUGUGAGAGCUCAAGUUGUUUGCACUCAGAAAGAGCUUCAAUUUGAUCAGAAAUUGGGGGUUUUGGUUGAUGCUCACCAUGGAGUUUCGAUUAAGCUUGCCGGGUCGGUCAAUUUCUUCGCCAUGUACUCUGUUUCGAGCUCAAAGAUUUGGGUUUUCGCUGUGAAAUUGAUUGAUAAUGAGGAUAAUGAUGAUAACGAUGGGGUGGUUGUGAAGUUGAUGAGGUGUGCUGUGAUUGAGUGUUGCAAGCUUGUUUGGUCGAUUAGCAUUUCUUUUGGGUUCUUGAUCUUAGGAGAAGAUAAUGGAGUUAGGGUUUUCAAUUUGAGGCAGCUUGUUAAAGGGCGGGUUCGAAAGGCCAAACUUUUGAAUUCGAGUUCGAAAACCGAGGGUCGAAAUUUGUGUUUGCCUAAUGGGGUGAUUGGUGACCAUGCCCAUAGUGAUUUGGGGGAUAAGGGAAAUAAAUAUGGAGGCGGAAAAUUCCAUGGCACUUCGGAGAUACCUUGCAAUGGGGACUUGUGUGGGAAGAACGAUAGGAAUUAUGUUUCUGCCAAGCAGCGGUCAGUUAAAUUGAAACAAGACUCACCUGAAGAGGGAGUGUGUUUUGUGACAUUCAAGGGCAAGGAGUUUGAAACCUCAAAAUCGACAAGAAUGAUACCAGCUAAGGCAAUUUCCAUUGAGGCACUGUCCCCCAACAAAUUUUUAAUCUUGGACUCAAAUGGAGCUUUACGCAUUUUGCACAUCUCCAGCCCUGCACUUGGAUCAAAUAUAACUUCUUACUUGCGGGAGUUGCCUCACAUUAUGAAAGUGCAAAAGCUGGCUGUUCUUCCUGACAUAGCUUCAAGAACUCAAUCUGUUUGGGCUUCAGAUGGAUUCAAUUCUGUGCACAUGAUGUUAGCAUCUGACAUGGAUAAUGCGGUUAACGAAAAUGAUAGAAAUGAUAGUGAGGAAAAGUUGAUUCAUAUCUCAGUUGUUCUCACAAUUUUUGCUAGUGAAAAGAUUCAAGAUCUUAUUCCGUUGGCUGCAAAUGCUAUUUUGAUUCUUGGCCAAGGAAACUUAUACACCUAUGCGAUUUCUUGAAGUUGCAUAGCUAUAACCGCCUUUUCUACUGGACUUCUAAAAUCCAGGCCUUGUUAAAUGAGCUCUGCCAGUUUGAUUGAGGUCCUGGAGAAAUGUUCUGUUUAAACAGUGCCCUUGUGUUGCUUGAUUACCAUGGUCCCAUGCGUCGUUUAUGUUACUGAAGUCAGGAGCUGCAGUUUCCUCAUCAAUCUAAAAGUGGUUAAGACUUUGAGAAUGCUGAACUCUUGAAGGUAGUAUGGAAUCGGGACCAGUUGGGUGCCUGUCAUUGCUUUCCACAUUCUAAAGGUUGAUUGUUUCAGCAACUGAAAGCCACUUCUGUUGUUCAACCUAACUCCACGAGCUGCAACUUUUGUCAUAUGUGAACGUAUUGGCUGUGGGUUCUCCCGUGUUGCCUCAUGUGGUGCAUGUCUAUUCUACGGUUGUCAGCUGGAGAACUGAACCUGCAUUCGACCGAAGGUCAAUAAACCCAUGAGACAGCUUGCAGGAUAGCGUCUGAUAUGGAUGAAACUCCAGACAUUCUGAGACUUUAUGAGUUCUUAGAGUUUGUAAUGUCUGUAAUAACGUUCACCAACACAUAUUAACUGGGUGAAUGCCCAUGGUUAUUUUUUCUGUUGAACUUAUAUGCUUGUGAUUUUGUCUGGUGCGCUUUCAGAAUUGAUAGAAAUGAAAAUCUAUAGGUUGUUAGAACUCUGUUUGCCUUCAUAGCUUUGAAAUCA